GAUGAACGCUGGCGGCGUGCCUAAUACAUGCAAGUCGAGCGAACGGACGAGAAGCUUGCUUCUCUGAUGUUAGCGGCGGACGGGUGAGUAACACGUGGAUAACCUACCUAUAAGACUGGGAUAACUUUGGGAAACCGGAGCUAAUACCGGAUAAUAUUUUGAACCGCAUGGUUCAAAAGUGAAAGACGGUCUUGCUGUCACUUAUAGAUGGAUCCGCGCUGCAUUAGCUGGUUGGUAAGGUAACGGCUUACCAAGGCAACGAUGCAUAGCCGACCUGAAAGGGAGAUCGGCCACACUGGAAGAGAGACACAGUCCACACUCUUACGGGAGGCAGCAGUAGGGAAUCUUCCGCAAUGGGCGAGAGCCGGAUGGAGCAACACCGCGUGAGGGAUGAAGGUCUUCGGAUCGUAAAACUCUGUUAUUAGGGAGGAACAAAUGUGUAAGUGACUGUGAACAUCUUGACGGUACCUAAACAGAAAGCCACGGCUAACUACGUG
rnacentral:rRNA from 1 species